rnacentral:rRNA from 1 species
CCUACGGGUGGCAGCAGUGGGGAAUAUUGCACAAUGGGGGAAACCCUGAUGCAGCGACGCCGCGUGAGUGAAGAAGUAAUUCGUUAUGUAAAGCUCUAUCAGCAGGGAAGAAAAUGACGGUACCUGAGCAAGAAGCCCCGGCUAACUACGGGCCAACAGCCGCGGUAAUACGUAGGGGGCGAGCGUUAUCCGGUUUUACUGGGCGUAGAGGGAGCGUAGACGGCAGUGCAAGUCUUGAGUGAAAGGCGGGGGCUCAACCCCCGGACUGCUCUGGAUACGGUACGGCUGGAGUGCAGGAGAGGUAAGUAGAAUUCCUAGUGUAGCGGUGAAAUGCGUAGAUAUUAGGAGGAACACCAGUGGCGAAGGCGGCUUACUGGACUGUAACUGACGUUGAGGUUCGAAAGCGUGGGGAGCAAACAGGAUUAGAUACCCUUGUAGUC